rnacentral:rRNA from 1 species
GAUGAACGCUGGCGGCGUGCCUAAUACAUGCAAGUCGAGCGAACGGACGAGAAGCUUGCUUCUCUGAUGUUAGCGGCGGACGGGUGAGUAACACGUGGAUAACCUACCUAUAAGACUGGGAUAACUUCGGGAAACCGGAGCUAAUACCGGAUAAUAUUUUGAACCGCAUGGUUCAAAAGUGAAAGACGGUCCUGCUGUCACUUAUAGAUGGAUCCGCGCUGCAUUAGCUAGUUGGUAAGGUAACGGCUUACCAAGGCAACGAUGCAUAGCCGACCUGAGAGGGUGAUCGGCCACACUGGAACUGAGACACGGUCCAGACUACUGCGGGAGGCAGCAGUAGGGAAUCUUCCGCAAUGGGCGAAAGCCUGACGGAGCAACGCCGCGUGAGUGAUGAAGGUCUUCGGAUCGUAAAACUCUGUUAUUAGGGAAGAACAUAUGUGUAAGUAACUGUGCACAUCUUGACGGUACCUAAUCAGAAAGCCACGGCUAACUACGUG